GUGUUGGGGAUAUAGCUCAUUUGGUAAGAGUGCUUGCCUCACAUGCACAAGGCCCUGGGUUUAAUCCCCAGCAACACA
rnacentral:tRNA from 1 species